CGGCGACUUGUAGGCAGUGGCAGGUUAAGGUAAUACCGGAGCCAUAGUGUAAGCGAGCCUUAAUAGGGCGUAGUCACUGUUUACAGACCCGAACCCGGAUGAUCUAACCAUGGCCAGUGUGAAACUUGGGUAAUGCUAAGUGGAGGUACGAACCGACUGAUGUUGAAAAAUCAGCGGAUGAGUUGUGGUUAGGGGUGAAAUGCCAAUCGAAUCCGGAGCUAGCUGGUUCUCCCCGAAAUGUGUUUAGGCACAGCGGUUAAUGUUUAAGUUCAGGGGUAAAGCACUGUUUCGGUGCGGGCUGCUAACGCGGUACCAAAUCGUGGCAAACUAAGAAUACUGAAUAUUUAUAGUUAACCAGUCAGACUAUGGGGGAUAAGCUUCAUUGUCAAGAGGGAAACAGCCCAGACUACUAGCUAAGGCCCCUAAAUUGUGACUAAGUGAUAAAGGAGGUGGGAUUUCUAUAACAACCAGGAGGUUUGCUUAGAAGCAGCAAUCCUUUAAAGAGUGCGUAAUAGCUCACUGUUCGAGUGAUCCUGCGCCGAAAAUGUACGGGGCUAAGUCAUAUGCCGAAGCUGUAGGAUAUAAUAAUGUAUCGGUAGGGGAGCGUUCUAUGCUGAUUUGAAGCACUAACGUAAGUGGGUGUGGAUUGGAUAGAAGUGAGAAUGUUGGCUUGAGUAGCGAAAAUAUUGGUGAGAAUCCAAUAUCCCGUAAACCUAAGGGUUCCUCCGGAAGGCUCGUCCACGGGGGGUUAGUCAGGUCCUAAGCCGAGGCGGAAAAGCGUAGGUGAUGGAUAACAGGUUAAUAUUCCUGUACUUUUUGUUGCUGAUAUAGAGGGACGGAGAAGGCUAGGUUCGCCGAAUGUUGGUUAUCGGUCUAAGUGUUCAAGGCUUUGAGAGACGGUGAAAACGUUUUGAGCUAAGGCAUGAUGGGUAGGUGUAGUAAUUACGCUGAAUGAGUCGACGUCAGGCUUCCAAGAAAAGCUUUUAAUAUCUUAAGCAACAAAAACCUGUACCCGAAACCGACACAGGUAGGUAGGUAGAGUAUACCAAGGGACGCGAGAUAACUCUCUCUAAGGAACUCGGCAAAAUGACCUCGUAACUUCGGAAGAAGAGGUACCCUGCAAAGGGUUGCAAAAGCCAGGCCCAGGCGACUGUUUACCAAAAACACAGGUCUCCGCUAAGUCGUAAGACGACGUAUGGGGGCUGACGCCUGCCCAGUGCCGGAAGGUUUAAGGAGUUGGUUAUUCUUUGAAGAAGCUGAUGACUAAAGCCCCGGUGAACGGCGGCCGUAACUAUAACGGUCCUAAGGUAGCGAAAUUCCUUGUCGGGUAAGUUCCGACCCGCACGAAAGGCGUAACGAUCUGGGCGCUGUCUCAGAGAGAGACUCGGCGAAAUAGAUAUGUCUGUGAAGAAGCGGACUACCUGCACCUGGACAGAAAGACCCUAUGAAGCUUUACUGUAGCUUGAAAUUGUUUUCACGUCUUGUACGCGCAGUAUAGGUGGGAGACUGAGAAAGAAUCUCUUCGGGGAAUCUGGAGUCACAAUUGAGAUACCACUCUUGCAAGACUAGAAUUCUAACCUCAGACCGUUAUCCGGCUGAGGGACCAUUUUAGGUGGGCAGUUUGACUGGGGCGGUCGCCUCCUAAAAAGUAACGGAGGCGUGCAAAGGUUUCCUCAGGUUGGUUGGACAUCAACCUUCGAGCGCAAAGGUAUAAGGAAGCUUGAUUGCGAGACCUACAAGUCGAGCAAAGACGAAAGUCGGCCUUAGUGAUCCGACACUACCGAGUGGAAGGAGUGUCGCUCAACGGAUAAAAGUUACUCUAGGGAUAACAGGCUGAUCUCUCCCAAGAGUCCAUAUCGACGGAGAGGUUUGGCACCUCGAUGUCGGCUCGUCGCAUCCUGGGGCGGUAGUACGUCCCAAGGGUUGGGCUGUUCGCCCAUGAAAGCGGUACGUGAGCUGGGUUCAGAACGUCGUGAGACAGUUCGGUCCAUAUCCGGUGUAGGCGUUAGAGCAUUGAGAGAAGCUUUCCUUAGUACGAGAGGACCGGGAAAGAUACACCUAUGGUGUACCAGUUAUUGUGCCAACAGUAAACGCUGGGUAGCUACGUGUAGUUGGAUAACCGCUGAAAGCAUCUAAGUGGGAAGCCAUACUCAAGAUGAGUGCUCUCAUCCUUUAAGGAUUAAGGUCACGAUUAGAUUAGUCGUUUGAUAGGUAUUAAGUGUAAGUGCAGUAAUGCAUUCAGCUGAGAUAUACUAAUAGACCGAAAACUUG
rnacentral:rRNA from 1 species